rnacentral:rRNA from 1 species
UACGGGAGGCAGCAGUGGGGAAUAUUGGACAAUGGGCGCAAGCCUGAUCCAGCCAUACCGCGUGGGUGAAGAAGGCCUUCGGGUUGUAAAGCCCUUUUGUUGGGAAAGAAAUCCUGCCGAUUAAUACUCAGUAGGGAUGACGGUACCCAAAGAAUAAGCACCGGCUAACUUCGUGCCAGCAGCCGCGGUAAUACGAAGGGUGCAAGCGUUACUCGGAAUUACUGGGCGUAAAGCGUGCGUAGGUGGUUGUUUAAGUCUGCUGUGAAAGCCCUGGGCUCAACCUGGGAAUUGCAGUGGAUACUGGGCGACUAGAGUGUGGUAGAGGAUAGUGGAAUUUUCCGGUGUAGCAGUGAAAUGCGUAGAGAUCGGAAGGAACAUCUGUGGCGAAGGCGACUAUCUGGGGCCAACACUGACACUGAGGCACGAAAGCGUGGGGAGCAAACAGGGAUUAGAUACC